rnacentral:rRNA from 1 species
CCUACGGGAGGCAGCAGUGGGGGAUAGUGCACAAUGGGGGGAACCCUGAUGCAGCGACGCCGCGUGGGUGAAGAAGAGCCUCGGCGCGGAAAGCCCUGGCAGCAGGGAAGAAAAUGACGGUACCUGAAGAAGAAGCCCCGGCGAACGACGAGCCAGCAGCCGCGGUAAUACAGAGGGGGCAAGCGUUAGCCGGAUUGACUGGGGGGAAAGGGGGCGCAGCCGGCGAGGCAAGACAGGAGUGAAAGCCCGGGGCCCCACCCCGGGACGGCUCUUGGAACUGCGUGGCGGGAGUGCAGGAGGGGCAGGCGGACUUCCUGUUGUAGCGGUGCACUGC